rnacentral:rRNA from 1 species
UGGGGAUGACGUCAAGUCAUCAUGGCCCCUAUGCCAGGGCUACACACGUGCUACAAUGGGCGGUACAAAGGGUCGCGAACCCGCGAGGGGGAGCCAAUCCCAAAAAGCCGCUCUCAGUUCGGAUUGCAGGCUGCAACUCGCCUGCAUGAAGCCGGAAUCGCUAGUAAUCGCGGAUCAGCAUGCCGCGGUGAAUACGUUCCCGGGCCUU